GACUAUUGACUCGAGAGGCUCCACGAUCUGCGGCUAGCAGCAGAGUUGCAGCGUUCGUGAUGGACUUUUAAAGCAUGACGGAAGCCUGCUGGAGAGUGCCUGAGCUUCUUUCUCCAAGACACCCACUGCGUUGGGGAGCUGCAUGAGGGAGGAACCAGUCUUGGUCCUAAAUAGUUCCUCAAUUUGAUGCUGGCAAACUUGAUGACUUUGUGGACGAUGUAGCCUGCAAGAUGGAAGAGAAUACAUUUCUCAGUUUUUGUGAGGUGAGGUGCUGCUCUGUUCACCGCCAUCAGCGGUUCCACUCUGACUGAUGGAGUGAUAUUUUGC